AGCAGCAGGAGGAUAGACGGCAGCAUCCAGUCAUCCGAUCCAGUGCCGGUCAGAACAUCUCUGGAAGCCAACACGGAAGGAGCAGCGCCAAGACUUCAGCUUUUCUGCUUCCCAGCCGUCAAUACCACACUUCUUACCACCAUGCCUGAUCCCUGUUGCGAAGGCAAAUGCAAGUGUGGCAACUCUGAGUGUUGCAAAGAUGGCAAGUGUUGCUCCGAACACCAGGGCGGCUGCAAGUGUGCCGGGGAAAGUGACGCAAAAAAGGAGCACUGUGCUGCGAACUGCAAAUGUCGUGGAGAAGAUGGCAACUGUCAGUGUGAGGGUCAGUGUAGCUGUUAAAGUGCCUCCUCUCUCAAGAUCUCCUGAUGCUUGCAACUGAAGAUGCUUGCUACUGACGCUGCUCUCAGCCAAGGAUUUCUGCAAUUUGGGCAACAAAGAUCAACAGUCCGUCAUAAAACCUUGUGUUUUUAUUUGUGUUGUGGAGCAGCCAAGAAGUUCAUUCACUUAGUAUUUGUACUUGGUUCUUGCCUAGCUAUUUUAUUAUUUGUUCAAUUAAUAUGGCAACAGAACGAAUUGUAAAAAAUUCAUGUUUUUCAAAAGCAGCAAAUAUUGGAACUAAAUCAUAUAACCUUGAUGUAUUGUUUCUUAAAUAAAGAGCAGACCGUAAAUUUCAAUUGUA